GACACAGGGAGGUAGUGACAAGAAAUAACAAUACGGGGCUUAAUGUCUUGUAAUGGGAAUGAUGGGAAUUUAAACCUUUUCCAGAGUAUCAAUUGGAGGGCAAGUCUGGUGCCAGCAGCCGCGGUAAUUCCAGCUCCAAUAGCGUAUAUUAAAAUUGUUGCAGUUAAAAAGCUCGUAGUUGAAUUUCUGCUGCAUUACAUUUCUCUUGUUUGAGUUUGUUAUUGUGGUUUAUUUCGGAUUGAUUUUUAUCUUUCCGGAUGAUUACUUUGAGAAAAUUAGAGUGCUCAAAGCAGGCUUUUGCCUUGAAUAGUUUAGCAUGGAAUAAUAAAGUAGGACUUUGGUUCUAUUUUGUUGGUUUUAGGUACCAAAGUAAUGGUAAUAGGAACAGUUGGGGCUUAA
rnacentral:rRNA from 1 species